GACGAACGCUGGCGGCGUGCCUAAUACAUGCAAGUCGAGCGAAGUCUUUCUGGUGCUUGCACUAGAAAAACUUAGCGGCGAACGGGUGAGUAACACGUAAAGAACCUGCCUCAUAGACUGGGACAACUAUUGGAAACGAUAGCUAAUACCGGAUAACAGUAUUUCUCGCAUGGGAGAUAUUUAAAAGUUGGUUAUGCUAACACUAUGAGAUGGCUUUGCGGUGCAUUAGCUAGUUGGUGGGGUAAAGGCCUACCAAGGCGACGAUGCAUAGCCGACCUGAGAGGGUGAUCGGCCACACUGGGACUGAGACACGGCCCAGACUCCUACGGGAGGCAGCAGUAGGGAAUCUUCCGCAAUGGGCGAAAGCCUGACGGAGCAACGCCGCGUGAGUGAAGAAGGAUUUCGGUUCGUAAAGCUCUGUUGUUAGGGAAGAAUGGAUAUGUAGUAACUAU
rnacentral:rRNA from 1 species